GUGUUAAUUAAUGCAAUGUUAGGUAAAAUGUUGGAACUUGUUCAACCUUUAGGCUGGUACAGUCAGUUUGUUAAAUGAAAUAUGGCAUUUGUAGACAUAUUUGUUUUUUUAAGAUUUAGUUCUCUUUUUAGAGUUUUCCUUAACCGACACUAACACUGUUUUGGAACAAUAAGAUUUAGGCAAGGAAGAGCCUGAGAGGCAGAACAACUGCUCAAGUGAAUUUAUUUAUGUUUCACACUACAUGUUUCGAGCCUCCUGGCCCUUUGUCAAGUGUAAUACACAGAAUGCUCAAUGAAACUUUUAAAGCAUACAAACAGGAAAUGACCUCAAUGUGAUCUUCAUUACCAAUUAUCACCCUCCCCCUAAAGGUGAGUAUUAAAUCGAAUAACAAUGUCCAUAAAGUCCAUGUAAAUAGGACUGGAAGUGAUUAGAGCACCAUCUAGGGGUGGAAACUUACUCCAAAGAAUCCAACAAAGAGAAAUGUAUUGGAUUAAAAAACUAGAUACGGUUACACCUAAGAGGGUCUAAAUGAAAAUUGGAGUGUUAAAUGCUUUCUAUAAUAUUAAUGGCUGUUUAUCCCCUUUCGCAGGCCUUGAAAUUUUGCCCAUUCAGAAAUAUUUGAGUACUUCUAAUGCACUUUUCACAGGGUUCUUAAUUGGACUACACCUUUUGCACAAUGGACUAUUUACAUGGACUUUAUGGACAUUGUUAUUCGAUUUAAUACUCACCUUUAGGGGGAGGGUGAUAAUUGGUAAUGAAGAUCACAUUGAGGUCAUUUCCUGUUUGUAUGCUUUAAAAGUUUCAUUGAGCAUUCUGUGUAUUACACUUGACAAAGGGCCAGGAGGCUCGAAACAUGUAGUGUGAAACAUAAAUAAAUUCACUUGAGCAGUU